AAUUAGAGGAUUAUAUAUGUAAUUAGUUUAUAUAUAUAUAUAUAUAUAUAUAUAGGCAAGGAAGCUUCCUUGAAGCUUCGUGAGUUCUCUGCCAUUUGAAAUGGCCGAACAGAGGAGAGUGAGAUCAGAGAAAAGAUGGAGAGAGAGCUCGCGACAGAGAGGGAGCCAAGCCGAGAGAGAUCGAGAGAAUGAGGGAGAUCGAGAUAGAGGGAGAUGUGGGCUGAGCGCAGCAAAGCUGAUCGGCCAUGGCAGCAACCACCAUGGCCGAGGAAGAUGACCAGCAGCGGUGAGGCAGCCGUAGUGAGCUGGGCUUCGAUGGAGGCUGAGGCAAAAACGACCAGUGGUGGCCAUGUGAGCACCAGCAGAGGCGGGGGUCGGUGUCGGCGGAAGCUUCAAGGGCCGUUAAUGGCCGCUGGUUGCAGCAAUGGCUGGCCGCGAGCAGGUGGUGGCGCGCGUAGGUGCUGGCAGCGGCGAUGGCGGUGGCUGCGAGGCAGAUUUCGGCGGAGGUAGUGGCUAGCCGGUGGCCACGAGCAGCGGCGGCGGUCAGCGUGCUGGGCAUCGAUGGCAGGCUGCCAUGCCCGAAGGAGAAGAAGGCGCGGGGAAGAAGAUGAGCAGGGAAAAAAAAAAAGAAAAAUGGAAAAGAAAAAAAAUAAAAGGAAAAUAAUUUCUGGAAAAUAAGGAAAAAUAGUCAAAAAAUCCAGAAAAAUAUGGGAAAAAUCUUGGAAAUUAUUUUGAGGCUUGAUGAGCUUGCCGGAAGCUCGAAAAUUGGAUUUUUGAGCACAAGUGGCUUCUCGAGAGGCAAGGCUGAUGUGGGCGUUUAGCUGCUUUUCUCUUCAGAUUAAUUGAGGUUCGAUCGGGAAGGCGGUAAUCCUAGAAGGGCUCGGAGUUCGGGCUGGCGUUCUCGCCGAGGCAGAGAUGAGGCUUCGAGCCAGGUAAGGGACGGCCCCAUGUGGUGGUGGCCUUGCAAGUUGGUAAAUAUGCCUGAUAAUGUUUUUAUGUUGCAUUGGCAUGUAGUGGUUAUAUCUUGUGUGAUGCAAAACCUAGUGGACCUAUGGCCAUAGGGAGGACUAGUGUGGUGGGGGCUGAUAGGUUGAUGCCUCAAACCUUAGUGGGUUGUGAGGAUGUGUGAGCCUAGCCUCAUUUGCAUGCAUUGGCAUACAUAAACAUGAUUAUAUUCAUAUUUACAUGCAUUGCACCCUUAUUGAGUCUUUAUGACUCAUGAGGUUUUACCUCAUGUGUAGAUAUUGCAAGUCCAGAGGCAAGCAAGGAUGGCGCCGGGAGGCUGCUGUGGCAAUUAAAUUUGUUGCCUGAGAUGUGUUGUUGUAUAUUCCCUUGUAAAUUUUUAUACUUAUUCAUGUAAUUGAGUGUAAGCAAUAUUGAGCAUUAGAUGUAUUUAAUUGUGUAAUCAUCAUAGUGUGAUAGAUGAUUGUGAGAUUGCUUGUUGAAUGUGGCAUAGUCGUUAAAGCCAAGUUUCGGAUCGAGUCAAGAUCAGCAAGGUAUGUUCUCAUAAAUCCCCAAUACUCAGCGAAGUGUUUGUAUGCUAGCCUUGUGCCUGGGUCACCUCUGGCUUGCUAUGGGGUGAGCUGAAGAGAGGUGAAGCUCACUCGGGUUUCGGGUCUUGGUCUGCUGGAUUUUUCUUAUUUGAGUUGGGACCGAUUCCUGAGUGGAGCGAAGGGAAGGACGAAGCCUAGUUCCCACCUAGGGCGUUUCUUGUUGAAACAUAGUCCAACCCUUCAGUUGAGGUUGUCGGGUGAGUAAUCCAGUCGAUUAUUUACUGAUGGCGCCCGUAAGUGGGAGCGGGUCGUUACAGUUGGUAUCAGAGCAUGGAUAGCUGUAUAAGUGGGGAAGGCUAGCGUGCUUAAGUGUUAAAUGUGGUCGGUUAAGUGAUUAAUGUGAGGAAUUGCAAGGGUUUUGGAAUAGAGGAUGUCUGGCAUGAUUUGAAUGCAAGUCGAAAUUUCGUAACUGCUGAGUUGGGGUCGAGAACAAUUGAUUUAAAAUUUUGAGAUUUCAAUGUAAGGUUGGUCCGAUAACCUUGAAAGUUGGACAUGUGGACCGAGGACCCUAAGGGAUUGGGUCAAGUCAUUGAGGCCUGCAAUGGCAUGUUUGGAUAUUCCUGUUCUUUGGAUGAGAAAAUACCCUGGAUUGAGAAGAUAUACCUGUAAGAGGUAUACAAGUUGAGCAAUGAGGAACCGAAAACCCGAGUGUGGGUGUUGGUGUUAAGAAAACUCGAAUGUGGCAUUUCGGGGAUAUGAAGUGUUGAGGCUUGUGUGGGGACACGAAAUCGAAGCAUGACUAAUCCGAGAAGGGAUUAGUGGAGCAUCCCUAUGCCAGGGAUCUGCCGAGCAUGUUCGAGGGAAUAGAGUUGUCCCUUGGAAGUGGUGCGGUAAGGCUUGGGCACUUGAGAUAGAGUGAGCUAUAGUGGGAUUAGCCCGAGACUCAAGAAAAAUGAGUCGUCAACUGGUUAUGUGACGAGCUCCUAGGAGUAAGGUUGCCUGCAAUAAGGCUCCAUGGGGAGCAUGCAUGUAAGGCAUCUGUUUGUCAUAGCCAAUGAUGGCAUGAAGUAAGUAGCAUCUAGAAGGACUUCGAGUUGAGUCAUGCGUGCUGAAAGCAUGCUAGAUGUAUACGGUACGAUGUAAUGAGAGGUGAUUGUACUGUUAUGAUGAUCCCGGAGGGGAUGUGCCUAGGGUAUGAGUGGACCCUAGCAGGUUUUUGUAUGUGAUGGAAGUCCCAAGCGAGUCGAGCUGGAAUCCAGAUUGAGAUUAAGGAGUUGGGCAUGCGUUGAUGUGCGUGUGAGAGCCAUUGGGUUAGCAGUCCUAGUUGUGAAGGGCCAAAAGACCGUUCAUGUGAGUGAUGGAUGAGGGGUCAAUCAAAACUCUCAUUAGAAUGCUUGGGGUCUGGUAGGACUCCUAAGGUCGGGAGAUGAGAGGUGAAUAGACCCUCAUUAUGAUGCCUAGGGUCGUGAUGACGCCUAAGGUCUCGAGACCCUUGAUGGGAGACGCGGAGGUCACCCGAUGAAGGGUAUGAACGGGUGUGUGUGUUCCGAGGGCGAUGAGUGUGUGGCAAUAGGACAUCCAUAGGCUAUGCGCACAAUGGAAAUGCCAACUUCGGAUGCCAAGUGGGCAGGGGCAUGGUGAGCAAUGUGGAGGCUCCGAAUUUUAAAUUCCAAUUCAUGGGAGCCUGAGUGAGGCGUGCUGGAAGGCCAAGCUGGGCAUCAUGACUGAAUGCACUAUGGGUGUGCAAGGAGAGACGAGAGGUCUCAAUUCACCUAGAGGGUAAUGGUAGGUGCUCGAUGGUUAUGGGUACCUAAGCUUGAGAUAGGCUCAGCAUGUUGGUUGUGGUUUGAGAGUCUCUUAAGAGGUAAGAGAUGCAGAGUCUUGAGAAGCGAGGCUCAUGGUAUGAGCUUGAGGUUAUCAAGGCAAGGAUAACCAAGCAAGAUGGCUUUAGUAAGGUGGUGGUGGAACCAUCGUAGCUCAGGAGGGCUUUAAGUAGCCUUGAUGCUAAGGGUGCAAGGCUCGAUGUGACGGAUCUGAUGCUAUGGACCGUGUGGCAGAGGACUAAUGAGUUGGCUCGCAUUGAGGGCAAGUGGCCCAUGGGCUUGAUCAAUUUAGUGAACUGCAGGUGACGGUCAAAUGCCGAAGAUUUGGAGCAGCACCCUAGGAAAUUUGGUCAGAUGAGUCUAAGAAUCUCCUGCUAAGGAUAGGACAUCUAGAGUAGUCCUAAGGAGAAAACGUGGAACGCGGUAAUGAUCCGAUAGAUUUGUUGUCGAGUAGGACGCCUGGUAAGAAUAGUGGCUGCGAGCGUAACGAGGUAGUCACGUCAAGUUCGAUGUCAGAGGUGUGACUGAAAGGCUGAAAGUCACAUUACGGGGUGUGAAACAGAUCAGAGUGGGACCUGAGCCAUGCUGUUGGAAACUAUUGUUGGGCCAGUGUAUGGGAGCAACACGGUAAUGAUGAUUAGGUGUUGGCUCUUCGAAGCACAGGGCAACACGAUGGGGAACCAGUGUUGGGCCAGUGUAUGGGAGUGACACGGUGAUGGUGACCAGGUGUUGGCUCGCCUAAAGCACAGGGCAACACAGUGAUUAUGCAGAUGGUCAGGGGCUAAAGAUUUGUGAAAUGCGGUAGGGUGACGAAAGUUGUGGCCAGUUCCACAACUCAACUGCUAGUAAUAAGAGUUGUCAGGGUGUUCCACCCAGGUGGAGUGUAAGCCCCUUUAUCUCGUUAAAGUAGUGUCGAAGUGGUUUGGCGAAUGUUGAGGUGUUGUAGCAUCUCGAGAUGUUUAAGGAAGAAACCUGGGAAAAAGAAAUGGGUCUAGCAUGGGAAUAACGCUACGGUUGAUGCCUAUCGUUGACGGGUCUAAUGCUAAGGACCACUGGAUAUAGACGGUUAGUUCACAGGAGGGACUGCAGCCCUCUAUGUGGAGUAACCUGUCUGCGGUGGAGACGAUUAGACGCCGAAGACUUGGGGUAUGCCAUAGGUUAUGUCUGGGCUAGACCUAAAUUUCUGUGAGGGUUGAAGUGUCGUGGUAGUGCUUUUGUUGUCAGGGCAGCAAGAAGGAUUAUGAAUCGAUUAGGUGAUAUCUUGUGGUGUGAUAACAAGAUGUGUGGCAAUGCUCCUUGCUAAAGGAUGCUAACGCAGUUGUGGUUGAAUUUGAUCGAAGUUGAUCGAAUAAAUUGAGAUGAUGGACCCUGUGUGACCUUGCGGUGAUGCAAGAAGAUGGGUCAAUUGGUGGAGUCGAUAAAUGACUCUAGGAUGUUACGUAAGUGUCGUGAAGGGCGAGACUUACGAGUUAGAAGCCAACCAUGAGAUGGGAAUAUUGAGGCGUGCGAAAGUCUCAAGUAUGAGGAUCUCUAAUCCUGUGAUGUGAGUUGUGGCAGGUUGAACGUGUGGCCGAGGCACGAUUUGAAAUUCGUGAAGGCUUGAAAUUGCACGGUCUAGUAGUAGUCCUGAUGUGUCGAUGCAAAAAUGAGGAGGUACCCUCAUGUAGCACCGGAUGGAUUUCCGGUUGAAGACACAGGAUUAGUUGCCAGGUGGUAGCACCUGAUGGCAAUGGUGAGAGCGUGAAGCUCGAGGACUGUGAAGUAAAGCCUUGUUGGGUGUCGUGUAUGCCUCUAGUAUAAAGGUUCAGCGGGUCCUGGUAGUUAGACCAGGCCAAUUUUGAGAAAGAGAUCCAAGGGGAUAAAAGAAGGUUGGUCAAGGCAAAGUUGUGCCGCUUGAAGGAGUGCUACUCCGUAACGAGAGUUAUAAAUGGUGGAGUUGAAAUGUGUCCUGGGUAGAACGUGAGAGGUUCUCCCGAGAAAGGUCGAGCAUAGGGCAACAACAUUAAAUGGACCUCCUAAGGCACUACCACUCUAACGGGAUGCAUCACCCGGGGAAAGCCAGCGUGAUGGCAAGUGCCUGAGUAGGAAUGUGAGUCCUACGACAUCUAAUGGAAGUGUGAGUUCCACAGAAGUAGCAGGGGUGAUGUCCAGUGGGUGGAGUUAAAUCAAAAAUCAUAGUCGAUGAGUGCAAGAGUAGUGCCUGGAGAAAAGUUGUGCUGGUUAUGAGCCGGGCGAUCCUGUUAAAGCUAAUCGAGUUGAUUAGAUGGAAGGUGAAGGCGAAUUUAAGAUGUCACCAAUGGGUGGCUAGAGCUUAAAGAAAGAGCUUGUGGGACGAGAUUGGUUUCCAGGAAUCGUGUAAAAGUGAUGAAAUCACCUGGAAGCUGUGAGUAAUACAGCUAGAGGGAUGCCUUGGAGUUUGGGCAAUUAAUGAGAUUUAACCUCGUGGCUAAAGGUUAAUGAUUGUGAAAGGAAAUCAGCUAGUGGAGCCGAUUGGUGACUAGCUGAGGGUAGCUGAUGGUGACCAAAGACGCCAAUUGGUGAUAGCAGCAGCGGCGAGCGGUGGCUAGCCAUGGUCGUGUUGCGUCGUGAGAGUAGUUGGUCAGUGGCGUUGGUGGAUCUGGAGUCGUGGUUGCGGCUGGAUGUGGCGCUAAGCGAUGGCAAGAGAUUGUCUUAGCUGAUGAUGAUGGCGUUAAGGCUAAUGUGCACGCUCACUGAGUGAUGUGAGCUGGUUGUAGCAAAAGUUAUAAGAAACCUGGGAGAAGCCAAAGUUUCUCAGGGAAUAAGCUAGCUACUAUAAGUAUAGCAAAGUGAUUUGGGAAAAUGGCCUAAGGGUGGGGUCGUGUUUGUUGUGAUGACCAGUAAGGUUCAUGGAGCAACGAGUCUUUUGAGAUGGCAUGGUAGUGUCAUCGUCGCUGUCAGGGAAAAGAUGUCAGGAAAGUCAAAGGUAGCCAUUUUGCAUGGUAAGACCUUGAAGCCGAGUGUGAAUGGCCAUGAAGGCUGGUGCCUGUGAAAUUUCAGAUGCAACGACCGUGGAGGAAAAAUUCAUUGUUAUUUUUGAACCAUUAUGCAUAGUUUAAAUCAGGUGUUUAUCGCAAAUUGAGGAUGAACCUGAUUUAGGAUUGCUGAAAGUUUCGUGCCUCAAGAGUAAGAGGCCCUGUCGAGGCUCUAGCGAGAUUUGAAAAGUUCCAAUGAAAUUGAAGCUGGGCGAAUAAAUUUGGCUAGAAGACCGCUACAAGAGUGAGGGUGUUACCGUGUUAGCUUGUUAAGGUGCGGACCAAAGGCACGAGUCAUCCUACAGGUGCGAUGCAAUAAGUGAAUGUGCAGAUAGUAAUAAGUCAAUCACUUGUGCCACGCACCGUGGGUGAUGACGAGGGCCGAUUAAUGGUUCGGCGACCCAAAAGCGAAAUGGUAGAAUCCUUAACUCGCGGUAGGGUUUAAAAGCCAAGGUAAGGCCUAGCAUGGGGCAAGAUUGUGAAAUCUAAAAUGAGGUGAGGAAUUGAAGAGGGGGUUGCUCAGUGAAGAGUUCCUUGUUUGGGGUAUGAAACCCCUACUAGCAUGUGAUAUCGGCUAGUAAGUACCUUGUGUGCUUAAUGCGAAGAACUCCUAGUUGGGAGAAGGUUGUGGCCCGAGCAUGGUUAAGCUCGAGGUGAAAAUGUCAUGGUGCGUGCAUCGCCAAGCUCGAGGUGGACUCGAGUAGUGCACGUGUGAUUGAAAUGUGAAAUUUCCUAGCAUGGUGUUAGGUAUAUCGAUUUUGCAUAAUCGUAUCGAUAAAUGAGGGUCGGCUGGUCAAAGUAGAAAACCAUGUAUGAAAUGGUCGAAGUUGGCUGGGUGGGCCAAAUGGGUGCUUCCCAUGUAGUGCUAGCGUGAUAAGUUGAUCGGUAAUGAGAGAUUGCCAUGAGGAUCAACUCAAGCUAUGCAUGUGUGUGAUUAAUGACGGUAUGCCAUGAUAAAUGGGUGUCUGAGUGUCUUGUGGGCACUAAAAAGAAACAUUGCGGCUAAUGAUCAGUGCUAAGACGUUGUUGGUUGGACCAGCGUAAAAUCGUGGCCAUGUGUGAUUGGCAGUGGGAAACGUUGCCGUGUGUGAUCGGCGUAAAAUCGUGGUAGACUGAUCAGUAAUGCAAUGUUAGUGAGAGUUGUUUUGGUUGAUGCGAAAGAGGGAAAUGGGAAGAAAACCUGCAAAGCGAUGCUUCGAGGUAGAGAAAAUUCAUCCGGAGAUGAAUGUCGUUGCAGUAAGCAUGACCAGCGACCAGUGGUGCGGUUUGGCGAGAGGCCAAAGCAGUGUUUGGUUGAUAAAUGUCCUCGAGAAGUGGAGGACCAAAUGCCUAAGUGAAACCUUAAGGUGAGAAUGACCCAGGGCAAAGGUCGAGAAAUGGUUCGGUUACGAGAUCCUCGAGCAGGGGAUUUGGGGGGGGGGGGUAGCCGGAGAACGUGAUUAUCUUGGGUAAGAGAUCAAGGUAAAGUGAAUUUCGAGGACGAAAUUCUUUAAGGAGGGUGGAAUGUAAUAUCCGGUAUUACAUGGUAUUGAAAAUAAAUAAUUUUGAUUAUUUUGGCAGGACCUCGGGUGGUCCGGGAAGGCCAAAAGUCAAUUUCGAGUAAUUAAUUAUUAAGAAUUGCCAAAUUGAUAACUGGGAGUGCCUCGAGACUUGGAUGUCCAGGGAAGAGGGCAAGGGAUUGGUGAGCCUCUCGAGAUGAGGAUAGUGACGCUGUUGACGGUCCGACCGGGAAUAAUUUUCGGAAUAAAUUCUGUAUAAGCCCGAGUGGGUGCCGAUACCGAAUAGUCGGAGGGGACCUCCUGGAAGCUGAGGGAACCCUAGGGGUGGUUCGGUUUUCUGAGUAAGGCAACUCUUAAGUAUUUUUGGGUCAAAUAAAGGUUCCGUGUGGGCCCAGGGACGAAAUUGGUAUUAUCGAGUAAGCGUCGAUAAUUAAUUGGAGAGAAAUCACGAUUUAAUGGGGCUUGAUAUAUAUUAAGUAAGGCAUGGAGGGUCAAAGUGCAAUUACCUAUAUUUUUUUUAAUUGCAAUUAAUAAAUCCCUCAAGUGUAAUUUGGGAAAAUUAGAGGAUUAUAUAUGUAAUUAGUUUAUAUAUAUAUAUAUAUAUAGGCAAGGAAGCUUCCUUGAAGCUUCGUGAGUUCUCUGCCAUUUGAAAUGGCCGAACAGAGGAGAGUGAGAUCAGAGAAAAGAUGGAGAGAGAGCUCGUGACAGAGAGGGAGCCAAGCCGAGAGAGAUCGAGAGAAUGAGGGAGAUCGAGAUAGAGGGAGAUGUGGGCUGAGCGCAGCAAAGCUGAUCGGCCAUGGCAGCAACCACCAUGGCCGAGGAAGAUGACCAGCAGCGGUGAGGCAGCCGUAGUGAGAUGGGCUUCGAUGGAGGCUGAGGCAAAAACGACCAGUGGUGGCCAUGUGAGCACCAGCAGAGGCGGGGGUCGGUGUCGGCGGAAGCUUCAAGGGCCGUUAAUGGCCGCUGGUUGCAGCAAUGGCUGGCCGCGAGCAGGUGAUGGCGCGCGUAGGUGCUGGCAGCGGCGAUGGCGGCUGAUGGCGGUGGUUGCGAGGCAGAUUUCGGCGGAGGUAGUGGCUAGCCGGUGGCCACGAGCAGCGGCGGCGGUCAGCGGGCUGGGCAUCGAUGGCAGGCUGCCAUGCGCGAAGGAGAAGAAGGCGCGGGGAAGAAGAUGAGCAGGGAAAAAAAAAAAGAAAAAUGGAAAAGAAAAAAAAAUAAAAGGAAAAUAAUUUCUGGAAAAUAAGGAAAAAUAGUCAAAAAAUCCAGAAAAAUAUGGGAAAAAUCUUUGAAAUUAUUUUGGGGCUUGAUGAGCUUGCCGGAAGCUCGAAAAUUGGAUUUUUGAGCACAAGUGGCUUCUCGAGAGGCAAGGCCGAUGUGGGCGUUUAGCUGCUUUUCUCUUCAGAUUAAUUGAGGUUCGAUCGGGAAGGCGGUAAUCCUAGAAGGGCUCGGAGUUCGGGCUGGCGUUCUCGCCGAGGCAGAGAUGAGGCUUCGAGCCAGAUAUUGCAAGUCCAGAGGCAAGCAAGGAUGGCGCCGGGAGGCUACUGUGGCAAUUAAAUUUGUUGCCUGAGAUGUGUUGUUGUAUAUUCCCUUGUAAAUUUUUAUACUUAUUCAUGUAAUUGAGUGUAAGCAAUAUUGAGCAUUAGAUGUAUUUAAUUGUGUAAUCAUCAUAGUGUGAUAGAUGAUUGUGAGAUUGCUUGUUGAAUGUGGCAUAGUCGUUAAAGCCAAGUUUCGGAUCGAGUCAAGAUCAGCAAGGUAUGUUCUCAUAAAUCCCCAAUACUCAGCGAAGUGUUUGUAUGCUAGCCUUGUGCCUGGGUCACCUUUGGCUUGCUAUGGGGUGAGCUGAAGAGAGGUGAAGCUCACUCGGGUUUCGGGUCUUGGUCUGCUGGAUUUUUCUUAUUUGAGUUGGGACCGAUUCCUGAGUGGAGCGAAGGGAAGGACGAAGCCUAGUUCCCACCUAGGGCGUUUCUUGUUGAAACAUAGUCCAACCCUUCAGUUGAGGUUGUCAGGUGAGUAAUCCGGUCGAUUAUUUACCGAUAGCGCCCGUAAGUGGGAGCGGGUCGUUACAGUGCUCUAGAGAGCUAACGGUGUUAUCGUCUUCUACCCUGUGGUUGUGGUGCUUCUGAUUUGAUGUAGACAAAUAUGAUGAAAAGGCAAAAAGAAAAAAGAAGAGUCAGGUCAUUGAGAGCAGACCAGUCCUCACGAACUGAAGUUCCUAAAGACAUUUCCUACCUAUCAAACGCGCACUUCGCUUAAUAUAAGCCUAUUAAGCCCCCUAAAAAAGAUGAAAGCUAGCCCUAAAAAACACACAACCAUCACCAGGAGGUGAAGCACGGAAAAUGAAUCGACAAAAAGAAUGGGAGUAGUGACGAAGCAAACUAAAGAGUCAUGAGAAACUUAUUGUUCUUGGUUGAUCAUUGCAAAAGUCAGAGACAAGAACCAAUACUUGGUAGGAAUGCGACGAAGAAAGGCAAAAAAGCUUCGGAGCAGUCAGCAGUGGAGUCUUGGAGUCGGAAGGAAGAAGAAGAUUGCAAGAGCAAGAGGCGUUUUGAAAUGGCACAGUGAGAGGGAAAAGAAUUCCCCCGCACUUCUAUAGGUUGAGUAAUUCCACCAUUGGAUUAAGAGAUUGAUGAACUUCCCUAGAUCUAAUGGCAAUGCAUAAAGUCAUGGGUCCCACGAGCAUAAUAUUAAGCGGUUACGGGAAACGUGCACAUUUAAUGCGCCUCAGACAAGACGUGCUGCAGAAAGCGACACUAUUUGAAACAAUUGGGCAGAAGUCUAGAAGGUGGGCCGACAAUUUGCGUAGCCCAGACGGACCAGCAUAUAUCAGCUCGCGCUUCGUAGAUCGCAUUGCGAGCUGGGGGCUAGUGUUAUGGGUAAUUUCUGAAUCACCUUUUAUGAACCAGACUUUACCAAGCAGGCCGAUCCAACCUCCCGAAGUCCAAUGGGCCUAAGGAUGAGGACACCUCAAUAAGGUCGCAGAUCGCUAAAACCUGAGCUCUGACAGCGAGAGUAAGCGAGCUCCCAGCGAGGCCUUUAGCUCGCUCGCCAAUCCGAUAAGCUCGUAGGGCAAAAAGAUCGAGUAAUAAUUGGAGGCGAUGCCCACCUUCCUUAUCAAAAGCAAACCCAAUCCCCGAUAGUAUAGAAUUCAUUCCUGAUUGUAUGGAGUUGAUAAGGAUACCUUGUCCUCAUGAUAUGGCCCACUACUUUGAACUUCAUGUAAACUGUAAACACCCCACUCUAUAAAUAGGGUGUCACAAAACCAUUGUAAAGGACAUGAUGAAUUACAUACUGUUACUCUACCAAAAUUAUCAGAGAAUAGUUGUGGAGUAGAUUUUUUUUGGCUGAAUCGCAUAAAAAUUCUCUUGCGUAUUGUUUGCUAUUUGUUUCUUCCCUUCGUAUUCGUAUUGAUUUAAUCAGUGCAGGCCGACGGAUCACGGUCGACCAAUUCUGAACGUUAACAAUAAUGUAGCUAAAAUGUUUAAAAUACCCCUUAUCUAAGGUAAUGAGGCAGCGUAAGACGGUGAGAAUGAAUGAGGUGAUGAAGCGCAUAAGUAAAAUACCUCUCAUCCAAGACGGUGAGACGCGUAAGGAGUAUUUUUAUCAUUUAUAAUGUAUUAUGUAGUCUAAAGUAUAGUUCAAAUAGUACCAAUAACAUCAUCCCAUUAAUAAUCACUUUUCACCCUUUUUGAGGUCAACGAAAUGUUAAAAACAUAAAACUCACUAGUUAAUUACAAGCACCUAACUUCUAAAAUUUUUCUCUCUCCCCUCUACACAGUACUCUAUGAGUCAAAUCUCUCACACAUGUUUGUCCAACCUGAACAACAAACACGGUGUAGCAAUUAUAGAGAGCCUCCAUACUUAGUUUGGGAGAAAAUUACAUUUAAGCACAAAUCUACAAAUAUUAAGAAUAUUCUUCACUUUUUUAAAAUUAUAUUGAUUAUUUUUAUUAGUUCCAAAAUCAUAUCACAUUAUCUCUUAUUUUUUAAAAAUUAUAAUUAACUACACCUACUGUUUAAUACUUAUAUUAGAUUAUUUCUUAAAAUUAAAUUUUCAUUUAUUGUUUCCUAAAUACGACAAUAAAUCAUCUUCAAACCGUCUAGAUUCUGUAAAAAAGAAGUUGGUCAGAGGGCCCAAAUUAUUUCCGCGCAAACCCUCAAAUGUUAGUCAAGCUUGGCAAAAAUCAGAAGAAAAUGCAGAGAAUUUUGUGCAUGAUUUUCACAUACUUUGAGAGGAGUCACAUACUAUUUUUACAGGCGGUAGAUGAUGAGUGUGUGUGUGUGUGGUGGGUGGGGGAGUUCUCCCGUAAUUUCAAGAUUGUUUGUUUCGAUUUUCAAAGGCAACGAUUUACAUUCAAUAUUAGGGGAAUAGCCCAUGAGAGACUGACUAAGAAAGUCUCUUAGGGCACCCUUUGUGGGGUUUGUCCAAAGGCUUUUGCCUGAGAGGAUCCCUCAAGUCCUUUUGCUCGGUAAAAUUGUCUCUCUUAUUUUUGGGCUUGUGGGCCUUUUGGACUAUGUACAUAUUAAUUUCCUUCAUCAAUUACCGGAUCAGAUCUUUUUACCACUUGAUCCAUUUGUUGAGAUCUUACGCGAGCUUAUAUUUGAAAUGCCUUUUGGGCUAUGUACAAUUUGUUGAGAUCCAACGAUUGGGGUCUCCUGUGGGCUUCCAUUUGGAGUGACGCAUGGUCCUUGCCACUUCGUCUCCUGUCCUGGGGGUGCUUAUAAAAAGGGGGAACCAGAGUCAUUUUCUGAGUUGCAUCCAAACUUUAGCCAGUUUAGUUAGUAAGGAACCCACGUAUAUAUGGGUUUGGGAGAGAGAAUUGAUGUGAAUGAGUUGCAUCUAAAUCCAACCAAUUUGGCUAGUAAGGAAAACACAUAUAGCGUACGUUUUACAAAGGCUAUACGAGAUUAGUUCUAGUUUUGAUUGUGCAUAUAUAUAUAUCUAUAUAUAUGUCCUCAUGUACAACUAGCUGGAGGCUAGUAUUUGUAUUUUAAUUCUGCAAUAAAUGUAAUCAAGACUAUGGCUUGUUUUAC